rnacentral:lncRNA from 1 species
CACCUACUUAUUUUCAAAUUACUGAUAAGAAAGACUCAGAGCUAUAUGUAAUUAGUACUGAAUUUAAACUAACCUUGAAGGAAGACUUUUACUCAGAAAAUAAUUUUGAAAUAUGGCAUAAACUCUUGAUAACUCACUCUAAGGAACAAAUCAACAAAUUACAAUUUGAAUACUACACUUUUCUGAACAUGACAAGAAAACAAAUGUCAUUUUCUAAAUGGUAUGCACUUAUAAAAGAAGACUCAAAAGAUGUUAAUAUGAUUCUAAGAAAUGGCAAAGAAAUUAAGAACCUAGAACCAUCUAACCCAAAGAUUAUAGUUACUUGGCA